rnacentral:rRNA from 1 species
AUUGAACGCUGGCGGCAGGCCUAACACAUGCAAGUCGAGCGGUAGAGGGGAGCUUGCUUCCCUUGAGAGCGGCGGACGGGUGAGUAAUGCCUAGGAAUCUGCCUGGUAGUGGGGGAUAACGUCCGGAAACGGACGCUAAUACCGCAUACGUCCUACGGGAGAAAGUGGGGGCUCUUCGGACCUCACGCUAUCAGAUGAGCCUAGGUCGGAUUAGCUAGUUGGUGUGGUAAUGGCGCAGCAAGGCGACGAUCCGUAACUGGUCUGAGAGGAGGGUCAGUCACACUGGAACAGAGACACGGUCCAGACUCCUACGGGAGGCAGCAGUGGGGAAUAUUGGACAAUGGGCGAAAGCCUGAUCCAGCCAUGCCGCGUGUGUGAAGAAGGUCUUCGGAUUGUAAAGCACUUUAAGUUGGGAGGAAGGGUCGUUACCUAAUACGUGACGAUUUUGACGUUACCGACAGAAUAAGCACCGGCUAACUCUGUGCCAGCCGCCGCCGUAAGAC